UGUUGGCAGCAAUAUACUAAAUUUAGAAUGACACACAGAGGACUGGCAUGAUCUCUGGGCACAGAUGACAUGCAAAUUAAUGACAAAUCCUAUGAGGUU
rnacentral:snRNA from 1 species